rnacentral:lncRNA from 1 species
GAGAGAGACAGAGAGCACAUGAGAGAGCAAGCAUGAGCAGAGGGGAAGGGCAGAGGGAGAGGAAGACAAGCAGACUCCCCAUUGAGCGGGAGUGGGGCUAGAUUCCAGGACCUCAGGAUCAUGACCUGAUCCGAAGGCAGAGGCUUAACUGACUGAGCCACCCAGGUGCCCCCUAACAUUCUUACUAUAAAAUUCUCUAUUGUAUUAUGUAAAAACAAAGCUGAACGCCUAUAUAGUCAGUAAGAACAAGUUAAUUUUCUGUAUUCCCAGGGUCAUAUUAUCAAAAAAAAAAUGGAUUCUUCAAGAUUCAAAUCUCAUUUUAAUCAAAUAUUUUAAUCACACCACAACAAACUUUUUAUUAAAGCUGCUAGCAAGGAAGAAAAUGGGCUGAGUCAAAUUGAGUUAAAUAGUCUCAUUUCUUAACCUCCAAGCUCUAAUGAAUGUACCAUGAGCAGUGAAAAUGCUUUUUUUUCUUCUUUAGAAAAAGGGCAGAGACCUAGACAAGUCAUGAAAGGACUCAGCCACUGGGUAAAAAAGAAUUGGCUGUGUUAGGCUCUGAGGUUAAGGUGCUAGGAAACAAAACAAGUACAACUCACCUGGAGUCCAGGGUCCAAAUUCAACCCGGAAAUGAGCCUCAGGUAAAUUAGCUAAUGUUAUCUGUGCUCAUGCGUGGCUCAGUUGUACCAGUAAAUUACCUUUUUAUGAAUAGUGGGCAAAGACAUCUAGUUCACCUACAUACCUUUCUUGGUGAGGAAAGCCACUUAGAGAUCCAAAGACUGGAUCUGAAGUUGUUCUGGAGAAGUCCAAAUCAGAGCCUAGGACAUCUUAUGUUCAUCAAAAUCCAGUAAAAACAUUUUCUUUCCCCUUCAGCUCUGCGUUGCUUGAGAGAAAUGGAACCAGUUAUGGGGAACUUAAAAACAACAGGCUGACAAAGCCAUCAGUUUUCCUUUAAGACUUUUCAACAUGCAUUUAACUUGAUGUUUUGUGGAACAAAAUUUAGGGGUUGGAAAAUUCCCUAGGAUUAUCUAUACUAGAAUACAUAACCUCAGCAUGUAGUCCAAAUAUCUCUCCAGUUCCCCUUAAUACUUCAUAUUUGUGGUUUUCAGUUAGGGUGGGAUGGGCUUGACUUGCAUACUCUUAGUUUGGAAAACCCAGCACAGCGAUGGAAUAUAGUGAGUCUGCAACUAUCCACCUCUGGUGUACACUUUACACACAUGCAUAUGCAUCAGUGUCUAUAUCACUAGAUGUCAGAUUUUACUGUAUUCCAUUAUCAUGCCUUCUCACAGUAGACCAACCCAUCCACCAACUAAACAGAUUUUACCAAGCUUAAUUUUUUUGGAUUACUUUAGGAAAACAAGUCAUAUUCUUACAAAUUGCACAUGGUCUCCCACUCUGAAAACAGUUACUCUGACUUUUCUGUUCAGUUCUUCUGCUAACAGCAUCCUUUUCCUAAGCAAAUUCCUCACACCUUUAUGAUAGCAAAAUUGCAAUUCAUAAUAAUGCAAUCUGACAUUACAAAAGAUUGCUCAAAUAAAUUUUGAGUGAGUUCCUACCUAAUUAUAAUGUCUCCAUUAUAUAUUGUGGAAUUUGCUGCCAUUUGUUAUUGAUAUUGCUGCCAAUUCACUCACUUUUCACAGAAUUGCAUUAAGUAUAGGAAGGCACCACAGUCUCUGGAUUCAAAUGACAGAGCCUAAGAUUAAAAUUCUAAUUCUCAAAAAAAAAUAAAAAUAAAAAAAAAUAAAAAUAAAAAAUAAAUAAAAUUCUAAUUCUCUACUGAUGCAGCCACGAGAUGAUAAAACAAAAAUGUUCGUAUUUUAUUUAAAAUAAGCAUCUUUACUAAAAUUACUGGACAUUAUUUAAAAACAUUCUAAGGCCACUUCUUUUUAAUUUAAAUUCAUUUUCUAAGGCCACUUGUAAAAGUAAAGAGAUUUAGCACCUUUAUUAAUAAACCCAGAGGCUGCUGCCACAGGAGGCCUGUGUUGGAUCCAAAGUACGUGAACCCUGGAGCCAAGCUCUAGAGUAGGCCAUUUGAACUCUGCUACUUUAAUUUCGAAUUCUUUCUUGAGGUGUUUUUACUUCCCUUUUGAAUUCUGACUUAUUUUGGUCUUUCAUUUCUUACACAAUUUUCUUCAUGUAUUUUAACCUCAUUUUGAACUAAUACAGUGUAGUGGACCUGCUUUUUUUAGUAUGUCCUACAGAUAUGCUUUACUGUCUCUACGGAUGUUACUUCACUCCUCAUCCUUUUUUCUCAUAACUUUGUAUGCCAUCAGACCUUGAUAUUUUUCUGUUGCUCUUUUUAAAAAAAAAUAUUUUAUUUAUUCAUGAGAGACACAGAGAGGCAGAGACAUAGGCAGAGGAAGAAGCAGGCUCCCCACAAGAGCCUGAUGCGGGACUCGAUCCCAGGACCUCAGGAUCAUGCCAUGAGUCAAAGGCAGACACUCAACCUCUGAUCCACCCAGGCAUCCCUCUGUUGCUCAUUUUUAUGUGAAUUUAGUUUUCUUGAACUUGAAGAAGGAAGACUGGUUCAGAUAGUAUUUAUAACUUCAGUUGUUAAAAAUACGACAGUUUGCUUUUCGAGGUUUCCUGAGUAUUUCCCUCUCCCAUGUUAGUCCGGACCUUCUCUUCCCUUCUUUGCUAUUCUCAUCCUGCUGAAUUCUGAUUGUGCCCCCAGCCAUUUUUCCUCACCGUGAGGCUCUAGCCUCCAGGUAAAACAGUGGGUCCGUUUUGAGAGUUUGUGGGUUUAAACCACCUUGGUCCCUAUAGGCCUUUCCUUGAGAUCCUCGUUUCAUAGCCACCCACUAGCUGUGUGGCCU